UUUCACUGCUAUGGCAACAGUCUGGUGGUAGGGCUCAGUGGGAGACGGCCGUGUGAUUUAUUGACAAGGGCUCGCUGUCCUUGGGGGACUGAAACUGGUAACAGAGGCUGAGCCUAGGCUCUGGCCUUUCCAGUGGAAGAAGAAAAUGCAUGGGCAGGAUGCAGGAGCCAGGCAAGGGUUUUGAAAAUCAUCAGGACAGCAUGCAGGCUCACUCGUCAUUACCUUGAUGAUAAAACUGAUUCUACAACCAAGUGAAUUAUCCAGAAAUGAAAGCAGCUAAUGGGCUUUUGUUUUGUUCCUUGUGUGUGGUGAUUUCAUGGGCUCAUUACCAAAGUCCUGGGGCCAAACUGAUCCCUGGUGAAUCUUCUCCAAAGUCAGCUGAGGCACUGCCUGAUGAGGAGAGAGUUUCCAUUCACUUCGUUCCUGGAUCUUCCACUGAUCUGCUGAGUGACCUUGGUUUAAAGUCAUUUUAUCUUUCCACAUCUAUUCUACCUUCCCUCAUCUUGGCCUCUGUCCAACAGACUAUCUCAAUGCACAAUACAGUUGCUUCAUGUGGUGUUUUCCAAUUUUUUUUGGAUAACACAUAACACAUGGGGACUCCAGUAUAUGCAGAAUAUGAGGCUUAGUAUGAUAGACUUUUCUUAAAACUGUUUUUUUCACUCAGAGUUGAAGGAUGGAACUAAUUGUUAGUGAAAACCUGCUCCCAGUCCAGGACUUUCAGAAAGCUAUGGAUGGGGAGGAAAAUGCCUACAUUACAAUGUCUUUCUAUAACACUGGAACUACAGAGAGGAAGUUUUAGAAAAUCUUAUAGAUGAUAAAAUAUAUGGAAAUCACUGGUGGUAAUAUCUAGUCCUUUCUUCUCGCAAAAACAACUUAUCCUCAUCCGAGCAGCAUUGAGCCACAGAGCCUCGGGAAGAGGGAAUUUAUAGAAAUGUUUGGUUCUGGCAUGAGUUGUUACUGAAAGAUACCAUCUUAGCAGAGUCAAUAGCACUGAAGGCUAUUGAAUAGCACUGAAUAGCAGAGACAUCUGUGGCAGCUCAUCCCAUGAAUAUCCUGGCAUAUUAGCAAAGCACCAGCUGAAAUACUGCGGUGGCAGAUAAGCAAGCAGUUUGUGUGCCACUACUAAUGUGUAAUUGCUAAGCACACAGUAAAGAUUUCACUGUAGCUUUUCUGUAACCCCAGACUGGAAUUCCAAAACUGGUAAAGAGCAAAAGGAAAGAGACAAAUGAACUGACCUGCUGGGGGAUCAGAAGUUACUCUUGGUAAAUAGCUCAAGCAGCGUAUCUAUAUUGGGUAUGUGUAAAAUGCCAACAUCCAAGAUGAAAGAGGACAAACAUUUUAACAGUGAUCAUUUGUUUGCUUCAUUUUGGUUACAAACUGUUUUAAAAGAAAAUACUCUUAUCGUUGAGAUACUUUUUGU
rnacentral:lncRNA from 1 species